AUUGAACGCUGGCGGCAGGCCUAACACAUGCAAGUCGAACGAGUGGCGGACGGGUGAGUAAUGUCUGGGAAACUGCCUGAUGGAGGGGGAUAACUACUGGAAACGGUAGCUAAUACCGCAUACCAUCGGAUGUGCCCAGAUGGGAUUAGCUAGUAGUGGGGGGAAAGGCUCACCUAGGCGACGAUACCUCGAUGGUCUGAGAGGAUGACCAGCCACACUGGAACUGGGCAACGGUCCAGACUCCUAAGGGAGGCAGUAGUGGGGAAUAUUGCGCAAUGGGCUCAAGCCUGAUGCAGCCAUGCCGCGUGUAUGAAGAAGGUCUUCGGGUUGUAAAGUACUUUCAGCGGGGAUGCGUUACCCGCAGAGGAAGCACCGGCUAACUCCGUGCCAGCAGCCGCGGUAAUAC
rnacentral:rRNA from 1 species